ensembl:lncRNA
CUGGAAUUUAAUGUUCUUGGAAGCCAGCCCUGGCUGUUCAGACGUGGAUCUGCCAGGGAAGUCCCCAGUGGAGGCAUUGCUCAUUCUCCUAAACUAAAAUGUCAAGAGAAAACACUGGAAAUCAUUAAGCACUCUGUUCAGCAUUUCUUGAGCCAUCUCAGGCAGGGGGUGGGGAAAAAAGCCUCAGCCACAAACAACACAGAAACAAAUUCUCAGUGUUAACACAAAACAGAGGGGAGAGCAUCAGAAAUCCAAAGCAGGAUUUCACUUAAUCUUGUCCAUCUGAAAUGACAUAAUACCAAGCCAACCUUGGAAAAAAAAAAGAGAGGGAAGAGAGUGGAAGUAUGGAGCAGAAAACAGAAGGCACCUCUCCUCCCAGCACUUCACUAGUGCAGAGCCUUCUGAAUUACUGAUCGGUAGGCAUAACUGGGACAACAUUCUGAUACCACGCUAUCAAAGCUCACACCAUGGGACCACCAUCUUUCGCAAGAAAUAUAAAUGACCAAAUGGUGUCCAUUGAUACAACUACAAGCUCAGUGGCUCAGUAAGCUCACCUUGGUGGCUAGCUGGUAGCAGGUUAGGUGGGCUGGCUGUCCUUUUGCUUGUUUGAUAGCAGAAGCAUUUGUACAUCCUAACAAAAUAAGGCUCUGUGCUUUGUGAGCUGGGUAAGCGGGAUGCUCAAUGCUGACUACUGCAAUAGGUGCCAGAAACAAUUUCUCUUUCUCUGUACUACUUGUAAAGCAUUUGGCAGUGUCUUUUGGAUGAAGGCUGUAUUGAAGGGGGGAGACAAAAAAAAAAAAAGAAAGACUUGAACUUCAGAGAAGUGUUAAAUAAUAAGGAAUCAACUGAGAAAGUGUUGUGCAGCAGCCAAACUUGAUUUUUUUUAAGCUCAGAUUUGCAACAUUUCUUGUGCUGGAAACCACAGCUAAGAGUAUUUUCCUGAGUGGUCUCAUCAUGGACCACUGCACGAAGCACUGAGUCUGAUGGCAACAGAAAAAUGGACUUCUUCUCCCUGAAUACCUGGAGAGGUGCGUGAAGACUUCUUGUAGGACACGUGGAACGGUACAUUUGAAACAGGCAAAAAGAAGAGAGCCUCUCGCCUGAUGGAAAGCUCUUGGAAGGCAGAACGCACUGCGUGUGUGAACUGAGCGGCUCCUGCUGAGCAUCCAAUGGGGCUGAAAGGACGAGGCGCAGAAAAGCAGUCCUGGGUAUCCUGGCACAGCUGUGCUGCUGCUUUGAGGCCAGGGGAGGAAACAAGAGAAACAGAAGACUGAGAUACAAGGGAGAUUUCCCAAAUUGGUGGCUAACACGUUCCAUAGGUAUCACUUAAAGAAAACAUUAAAAAAACAACAGAAUUAGAAGCAGCCUUUGAGCACUGGGGUGAGACAUCUCUUCCCAGAGGCUUCCGAGCAGAAAGAAUCCACGUUGAUUCCAACAUCUAGCACUGCACGUUGGAUUUAAAUGGACAGAACUAAAAAUAAAGAAAGGUUUUAUCUUCCCACAAGCUGACUGGUAUAGCAAUUUGCAUCUGAAGCAGAUCACCAAGACAAACGUAUUCUCAGGGAUCAAGAAGUCACUGUAACACAAACAUUUUUGCUGGGAGAAAAGGAGGCUUGCCAGUGACAUCAGCAGAACACUAUUUCCAUUUAGAAUGGAGAGUGUGGCAACUUCAGGUUGAAUGGAAAUUGAAGCGUGCUGGCACUGUCAGCUACACGUUAAGCCACUUGAGAGUACAAACAAAGGAACCAGAUCCCACCUUUGGAAAAGCUGCGUAAAUUCGUCUUUUCCGAGUAGUUCAGAUCCCUACAAUUCAAGAGGAGGUAAGCAAAGGCCCGGAGUUCUUUGAAAGCUCAAAUUCUUUCAUGUGCAGACAUCUCAGCUUGAAAAGUCACAUCCUAAGAACUCGUGUUCCAAUAGAAGGCAUACCCUAAGAAAGAUCUGGGCUGCCCUACGAGCUCCCAGAAAGGGGCAGAGCUCAGUAUGAGUUGUAUCCAGGCAUCGCCCUCCCUUCGGCACAGUUGAACUCAAUGCUUUCUACUUCUUACACACGACAACUAUUAUGAUAUUUAAAUUAAAAACCACUUUUUGAAGUUCAUAUUUCCUUCAAUAUUUAACAAUCUCUGAGACUGUUCCUCAAAGACUACCGCACAGAAGAGACUUCCUACGUGGCUUAGUGCCACCCCUUGGGACUGCUCACCUACUUAUAGCUUCUUUCAUGAUCUGAUUAAGCCCCACAGAAAGCCCGAGGGCUUUGGUCCCUACACUUCCCUUGUGAAGCUCUAAGAGGAGAUUUCCCUCUCCCUGAUGGCACGGAACAUCUUUUAUUCACCGCCGGUUUACGUGCAGUUGUUCAUGUGACAAUCUCCUCUUACUUUAGAUGCCGCUUUUCCAUUUCUUGUGUUCCGAGGUAUGGAUAAAGAGCUUCUUCAAGUUUUGCAACGUGGGGAUAAUGCAUUUUUUAAAUACCAAAGAGAAUUGGGAAAUAAAUUUAACAACAGUAAUUUAGCAUUAAUAUAUGAGCUGUUGGGUGCCUCGGUAGCUCUUCAGAAUGAACCAUGAAAACUCAUCCACAGUUACCAACAUUCAGAGCAGCACCGACUUAAUUCAAUUUAUUUCCUUGCCAGCAGGAUAUUUUUAUUUUAAUCUAACUGCCUGCUAAAUUUCCAUCCCAAAUACUUGACAGUGAAGGAACACAUAGUUGGUUGAUAUCAUCAGAGCAUUCAAUGUCACUAUCUAAGCAGAAAUGACAGGGAAAAUAAUAUAUUAAAGCCUAACUGAAGGACUCAUUGAGCCCAAGGUAAACCCAUCUGAUGCCCCACAAAAGCCUCCUUUGGAAGCUGUUCAUACACAUGCACAGCAGCAGGGAAAAAUCCUGCUCUAUGUGGUUGCUUAUUUCCAGUACUGAAAAAGGACUUGAAGGACCAAAAGGAAACAAAGCACUGUUAUAGAAAACAAAUGUAUAAAGCCUUGCAUGACUUCUGCUACCUCCUUUUAUUCUUAAAAAAAAAAACCACAACACCUUAGCAUGAGGGUGAAUUGAGGGGUUUGCAUUUCCUUUUUGCAGUUAGACCCAGUCAACCAAUUUCUCCUUGCCUCAUCUGCUUGAAGGAACUAUUUUACUCUUAUUUUCCCAGGUCACUUUUAUGCAAGCAGAACAGCAAGAGGAAAAUACAACUUACCUCCUCCCUUCUGAGACUGGCAGGAGACUUGACAGGAGCAGCAGGCUAUCUCACAGACCUCCUCCAAAUGCAUUAUUAAUCUCAGGUAAACCACUUCUUGGGAAUGUUAACUGACAUGCCAUUGGAAAACCUUCAUCUCGGUAAGCUUUGUACAGAGACCAUUUUCUUACAGUGGUUUUGAUAUUAUAAGCUUCCUUGAGUGAAAGAGAUCAUUUUGUCCACAUGGAGCCCCCAGUGAAAUCCCUGAGGCUCCACUUCCACGUACACCCAUAUCCAGCAUUGGCAGCACCAGAAAUUAAAUGGAUUUAGCUUGCCCAACAUUCUUCUUGGUCUGUCUGAAAGACACAGCCAGGCCACUGAUGGCUUUACCUUCACACAUCAUCAGUGCUGGACCAUAUGAUUUAAUUGGGAUAACGGAUGUACUUUUACCAGAAACACUGGAGCAGAUGUGCUCUGACAAAGUCCUUGCCUGAUUACUUUAUGCAUUUAUGACCCACUGGAAAGUAUUGGAUAAAAUCUCAGCAGAGCUGGCUUAAUCUCCAGCCUGGCACUACUAUUACUGCUACGCACCAACCACAAUGUUUUUUUUCUGCUCCAUUAUGCCUCAGUUUCUCCCUCUGCAGCAAAAUGACAGUGUGAUACCAAUUCCUUCUGUAAGGCACACAGACCUGCUAAUGAGCAGCCCGGUAAGAAGAGAUACCUAACUCCUUGCUGAGACUAAGAACGGGGCAAUAAGGCACCACCACUCCUGAGGAACAGCUUCCCCAGCUUACAGCCAUCAUCAGGUCGCUCUGUUUGGCAGUUCUCAUACAGCCAAAUG